AUCCUUCCCUGGCAGGGGUCCACAGCGAUAGGCACCUGCAAAGAAAACCAACCAACUGGAGAAAAGUAUUUUAAAUUGCUUCAAGCCGUAUAUUAUUUUGAGGUUAUAGAGGAGAUUCAAGCCUCUGGGGUUCCUCCCAGGUACAUGAUGAGGCAGGUCACCAAACUGACCGCAUUUAUCAGGCCGUCCUCCCCCAAUGACCGCACUGCCUCCAAAAUAAAAGUGAACACUGAGAUGGUUACAACAUAACAUGGAGAUCUUAAAAACUCACUAUCAAGAGGUCAUCAUGGUGGGCCUUCACAACCUACCUUCUUUUAAGCAGGUGGUCUUUAAAAAGGCAAACGCCUAAUGGAAGAAAUAGGUACAAAAAGCGACUUGGGGACACCAUAAUGAGAAACUAAAACACUAAUAAAUGGUGGAGCCCAAACGGAAACUGAUAGGCAUGACCUGGCAGACCUCAUGGGCGAAUUGAGGGACUCCGACCACGAAACAAGUCCUGGCUUCCACUCUGGGCUGGUUUAUUCAUUUUAUUUUGUAUAGCCCAUAAUUACAAAUUUGCCUCAGAGGGCUUUACAGUCUGUACACAUACAACAUCCUCUGCCCCGAAACCCACCAUCGGCACAGGAAAAACUUCCCCAACGCUCCCUUAACUUAAUUUCAAUUCUGACCCCCCCCCCUCCUUCUACUUCCCUAUCUGGAGGACAAAUUCCCUGAGUCUGAGCCGACACCGGAGAGGAGGCCCUAAUAUGGGGCCCCGGGGCGACGAGUUCUGGAUGGGGGCUCCCCCGUCUCCCCCCCCCAGGGUCCCAGGAUUCAUCCCACCAUCUACCAAAAAACAAUCCAUUGGAACUUACAACCGGAAGAAACUAUUGUAGUUUUGCGAGACCACAAUAUAGCCAAUAUACCUCUCCAUCUACAAAUGGACAGCUUCCCGGAGGCUAAGAUCCACCACCUAAUAGGAGUCCUGGAGAAACGUAAUCACUGUCCCUAUGUCCAGAUGGUAGUUCCCUGUGGGAAUGAACAAACUCCAUGGAGACAUUCAAAUUACAAACAUUAAAAAGCAACUCAGGAGGUUGCUCAGACUCUGAGAACAUUCCCAGACGGCCGCAUUCUUAGGGCUCCGAUCCAAAACUACAAGAAAAUCCCCCCCCAGGUAUACUAAAUCGUUAACAAUUUGACGCAUACCUGAGAGUAGGUCAUAGAGGUCCCCAAACCCAUUCAAGAGGACCUCUUCCAAGUAGACCAACAGGAUCCGCCACAAUGGACAAGGAAAAAAAGCAGACCAUAUCUUUCAGGAUUGGCGCAGUCAAUGGGCCCAGGACUACGAGAUGGAUUUCAUUGACAUUCCAGAAUGCGAUCCACCAUCACCCUCCACCCCUAGGGAAUAAAAAGAUACACAGGUUUUUUUAUAAUCAUGGUCUCCUUUUUGUAAAACUUUUUUAAUAAACAUUUUAUUAUUGACUCACCUGGGAAUAAAGCCGGUUUUUAAACCAUAAAUUAUUUGACACAACUUUAAGCUACUAGUGACCCUAAACAAAUUAAGCCUGUGGACCGUCCGAUGGCCUUUGAGCAGUCAGAAUCCUUUUCUCACCUAACCCUAACCCAGGGCCGCCACACACACUCCCCGCUGAGGUCCAGCGACGCCCACAACUGGAGUGACCCACCGCUGCAGCACCACAACUCGUGACUGCGGCGGCACGUGCUGUUGUCACCCAGGCCCGGAGGGAGCCAGCGCAGUCCCGCAUAGCAGCUUGAGAGCCAUUGCAGCCCUGCUCAGCCGCCGCUGGACCUUCACCGCCCCAUAGAGCAGCCGCAGCGCCAGCGUACUGCAAUCCAGACCCAGCUGCUGCGACGACGACCACUCCGGCCUGCAGUUUGCAAACAGCAGGCGAUCCUGAGGAAGGCCCAAGAGUGUAGUCUCCAACGUCUGCAAACUGCCGGCCUACGACAAGGGCAGUCAAUCUGGAGCUGCUCAGUCUCUUAAACACGUCCACAAAGUAUGGGGGGAAAAAAAAAAAAAAAAGUAGACUAUAGGUCACGUUUAACCUACAGUUGCACGUGACAUGCAUGACAGGAAGUUGACCGCUGCAGCUGGAAGCUAGCGAAUAAAGCGGUUACGCGCUAUAAACGUUUACAUGGCUGAGGGGAAACAAGCCAAGACCUACCAUUUUCACCCUGAAUGGAGGAAGAUUUUUGGUUUCUUCUCAUUCAAAGCCUGUUUGAUCUGCAAUGCAACGGUGGCGUUGGCAAAGAAAGGGAAUCUGGAUCGGCAUUUUAAAAUGGUACACGGGAGCUACGAAAGGGAUUUCCCUGCAAAAACACCUUUCACGCGCCACAAGUGCGUGAUUUGAAAACACAGCUUGCAGCACAGCAGUCAAUCUUCACCAAACCGGGUAAGGCUGCAACUAUUGCUUCCUAUCGCGUCAGUCACGUCCUUGCUAAGCGCAAGAAGCCAUUCAGUGACGACGAUAUGGUGAAGGAAGCUUCUCUCGAGGCAGCGGAUAGCCUUUUUUAUCGACUUUAAUGGCCUUCACGAUCGGUUUUAUUUUUAAAGUGCAACUCUCCCGCAAUACUACAAGACUAUGUGAGAGUGGGUGUGGAGGAGCAACUGAGGAAGGAUAUUGGCACGUGAGAGUGCUUUUUCCUCCAAUUUGACGAACGCUGAUGGAGGAGCAGAGGAUGGACUCCAUGAUGGCCGUGUAGAAGUGGACCAUCAUCGUCUUUGGCAGGUUGAAUUUCUUCAGCUGCCUCAGGAAGAACAACCUCUGCUGAGCCCUCUUGGUGAUGGAGCUGAUGUUCAGCUCCCACUGGAGGUCCUGGGUGAUGAUGGAGCCCAGGAAACGGAAGGAAUCCACAAUAGUGACGGGGGAGUCACACAGGGUGAUGGGGGAGGGUGGGGCUCUGUUCCGCCGGAAAUCCACAACCAUCUCCACUGUCUUUAGAGCGUUGAGCUCCAGGUUGUUCUGACUGCACCACAACACCAGAUGGUCAGACUCCCACCUGUAGGCGGACUCGUCCCCACCAGAGAUCAGUCCAAUGAGGGUGGUGUCAUCCGCAAACUUCAGGAGCUUGACGGACUGGUGGUUGGAGGUGCAGCUGUUGGUGUACAGGGAGAAGAGCAGAGGGGAAAGAACGCAGC
ensembl:lncRNA